GACCCUCAGCAACUAAUACCUUGGCUCUCGCAUCGAUGAAGAACAUAGCAAAAUGUAAUACUUGGUGUAAAUUGUAGAAUCCCAUGAACCUCAAUUUCUUGAAUGUAAGUUGCGCCUGAGGCCAUUAUGCUGAGGGUACAUCUGCCUGGGUGUCA
rnacentral:rRNA from 1 species